UAAUACCUGCCAAGCUUAAGGGAGUUUCUUCCUACUGCGCUUUUGCAUCCGUGGAAAAGAAGUGUUCUUAGCUGACUCUGGAAGCAGUCCUGUGAAUACCAUUGCAGCCUGUGCAAACUAUUUGCAGGAUUUUGAAGGAAGGACCCCCCAAAGUAGGAAAAUUCCCUCGGUAGGACAUUCUCCGGACCGGGCCAGGAAUGCGACGACAGCUUAACUUAUCAAAACAAAAGCAGUGAGCAAAUGUGGCAGGUCGGUGGGACUACCUGGCUCCUGGAUGUCUUACACCUGGAUUUUCCUGAAGACUGUGAGGCUGUCUGACCUAUAGCCUGGUUUAAACUCUGCCUUUAUAACUUCUCAGACCUGAAUCACUUUGAUUCAUGUGCACUUACCUCACUGAUGAACUGCAAUUAUUAAUGAGACCACCGAGUUCUACUUUUGGAGGAGACUAUUUGUUUUCCAUAAUUUGCUGAGAGAAACUGAUUUCCUUCGGGCCAGAGGUCACUCAAGAAGUCGCCUUCACAAGCCCAAGAUGCCACAAAGCCAACUGCGCUCUCAGCUCCAUGAUCUGCAGGGACUCC